rnacentral:rRNA from 5 species
UUAAAUUGAAGAGUUUGAUCAUGGCUCAGAUUGAACGCUGGCGGCAGGCCUAACACAUGCAAGUCGAACGGUAGCACAGAGAGCUUGCUCUCGGGUGACGAGUGGCGGACGGGUGAGUAA